rnacentral:misc_RNA from 1 species
UCCCUAUUACUAGGGCAGUCUAGUUAGACAAUUCAACUAACUACAAGGGUUGCGCUCGUUAAAGGACUUAACCUAACGUCUCACGACACGAGCUGACGACGGCCAUGCAACACCUGUCAUCGGGUUCCUUACGGCACUCUCUCCUUUCGGAGAAAUUCCCGAGAUGUCAAGCCUGGGUAAGGUUCUUCGCUUACCAUCGAAUUAAACAACACGCUCCACCGCUUGUGCGGGUCCCCGUCAAUUCCUUUAUGUUUUAGUCUUGCGACCGUACUCCACAGGCGGGAUGCUUAACGCGUUAGCUUCGCUACUACCGGGGUCGAUACCGAUAACAGCUAGCAUCCAUAGUUUACGGCAUGGACUAC